rnacentral:lncRNA from 10 species
CUUCCUGUUGUCAUGUGAAGGACAUGUUUGCUUCCCCUUCCACCGUGAUUGUAAGUUUCCUAAGGCCUCCCCAGCCAUGCUGAACUGAUUAUAGGACUGUGUAUGUCCUACACACACAUUAUAUGUCCUACACGCACAGUGAUGAGGAGUGACAAAAUGAAGACUCCAGAAUCCUCUUUAUCAGAUCCUGAAUGUGCACUUUCUGAAGUGAAGUCCACUAUGUGCUGGGCACACAGAGAAUAGAGCAUGAAACAAAAGCAACAUGACCCUGCCCUCACCAAGACUACAGGGAGUGAUGGAGCAUACAACUUUGUUUCAGAAUGCAAUUCAGAUCUUCCCUUUCGCUUGGCUUCUUAAAACUUCUUUUGAGGAUGGUAAAAUUUCGUGUUAUAUUAAAUUUCAUCCUGUAACUGAUACUCUGGGAUGAUGUUGGCCAAUAACUAGCAAGACUUUAAAUAAUCAACUAGUUUAGGCAUUGCUUAGCACGCUCCAGCUGACUUCACAAGUAAAACCAUGUGAAGAAAGAAGGUUUUCAGGUAACACAGAUGGAGGUGAUGAUCUUUCUCAUUUUGUGGAAAAUAUUAAUUUCUCAUUUUUUAUUCACUGACAAUUAGUAAAAUUCCUUACUCUACCUAAUAUGUAGACUUCUGAACUAUGUAAGUAAAACUUUAUAGUAACU